rnacentral:rRNA from 1 species
UACGAAGGGUGCUAGCGUUGUUCGGAAUCACUGGGCGUAAAGCGCGCGUAGGCGGCAAUACAAGUCAGGGGUGAAAUCCCAGAGCUUAACUCUGGAACUGCCUUUGAAACUGUAUUGCUAGAGUGUCGGAGGGGAUGGCGGAAUUCCUAAUGUAGAGGUGAAAUUCGUAGAUAUUAGGAGGAACACCGGUGGCGAAGGCGGCCAUCUGGACGACAACUGACGCUGAGGCGCGAAAGCGUGGGGAUCAAACAGG